AAAAACAUAGCUCUUAGAACUCCAAUUAAGAGUAUUUCCUGCCCAGUGAAUUUAUUCAACGGCCGCGGUAUCCUGACCGUGCAAAGGUAGCAUAAUAAUUUGCCUCUUAAUUAGUGGCUAGUAUGAAUGGAAGCACGUGGUUUCAGCUAUUACGGACGCAACCAUAAAACCUAUCCUUUAGGUGAAGAGACCUAAAUUUUAAUAAAGGACAAGAAGACCCUGUCGAGCUUUAUAGGCACCUUUCUUAAAGAAAUAAACCUUAUUUGGUUGGGGCGACCCGAGAACACAUCUAACUUCUCAUAAAAUCAAGAUUGAAACAUCAUUACAAUGACCCUCCCAUGUCAUCUAAAAAGCUACCGCAGGGAUAACAGGCUAAUCCUCCUUAAGAGCCCAAAUUGACAGGAGGGUUUGGCACCUCGAUGUUGGCUUAAGAUCCCCCUUUAUCGCAGACGUUAAAACUGGUAGGCUUGUUCAGCCUUUAAAAUCUUACGUGAUCUGAG
rnacentral:rRNA from 1 species